CCUACGGGAGGCAGCAGUGAGGAAUAUUGGUCAAUGGGCGUAAGCCUGAACCAGCCAAGUCGCGUGAGGGAUGAAGGACCUAUGGUUCGUAAACUUCUUUUAUAAGGGAAUAAAGUGUGGGACGUGUCGGGUUUUGUAUGUACCUUAUGAAUAAGGAUCGGCUAACUCCGUGCCAGCAGCCGCGGUAAUACGGAGGAUCCGAGCGUUAUCCGGAUUUAUUGGGUUUAAAGGGUGCGUAGGCGGACUUUUAAGUCAGUGGUGAAAGUUUGUGGCUCAACCGUAAAAUUGCCGUUGAAACUGUGAGUCUUGAGUAUAUUAGAGGCAGGCGGAAUGCGUGGUGUAGCGGUGAAAUGCAUAGAUAUCACGCAGAACCCCGAUUGCGAAGGCAGCUUACCGGAC
rnacentral:rRNA from 1 species